UGGGGAAUCUUCCGCAAUGGACGAAAGUCUGACGGAGCAACGCCGCGUGUAUGAUGAAGGUCUUCGGAUUGUAAAGUACUGUCAUUGGGGAAGAACGGUUUUCUUGAAAAGAUUGAGAAGACAUGACGGUACCCAAGGAGGAAGCACCGGCUAACUACGUGCCAGCAGCCGCGGUAAUACGUAGGGUGCAAGCGUUAAUCGGAAUUACUGGGCGUAAAGCGUGCGCAGGCGGUUCGGAAAGAAAGGUGUGAAAUCCCAGGGCUUAACCUUGGAACUGCACUUUUAACUACCGGGCUAGAGUACGUCAGAGGGGGGUAGAAUUCCACGUGUAGCAGUGAAAUGCGUAGAGAUGUGGAGGAAUACCAAUGACGAAGGCAGCCCCCUGGGAUGAUACUGACGCUCAUGCACGAAAGCGUGGGGAGCAAACA
rnacentral:rRNA from 1 species